rnacentral:lncRNA from 1 species
GGAUGAGACCACCCGCAGAGGGUGAGAAUAGAGUGGUGGUGUGUAUAUAUAUGCUUUAUAUAUAUAUAGUACACAAACCUCAUGCACUUCCAAUCUGCAUGUGGGCCUGGAUUACACAUCACUGCUCCACCUGGUGCAUGUAUGUGCAAUUGCAGGUAAUUUCUUAAAGGUUUAGGGGGCGUUAACAAGGCAGCCAUGCAUUAAGUACAUCACAGUGGGGGGUCAUGACUGGUGUAGGUGGGCUUGGUGGAAUGGUACCUAAGUCAUGCUAAUAACAUGACAAGAUCAGUGUGAAAUCCUGCAGCAACGAGGCAACGGAAAUUUGCCGCUCCAUCUGUAAUCCACUUGCUGCUUCCCCAAACGUAAUAACAUGCUUGAUACUUAUUAGAUGUAUGUACUCCCGAUGUUUCUUUGGUCAUAAUCUAGCUUCCCUCUUUGUGUUAGGAAUGCUAAUGGCUAGAACAGUUCAUGCUAAGUUGCAAGGCGCUCCCACGCUAUUUGGAUGAAUCCAGCCUUUGCCCGGUUCGAAUCGUGUGAUAUAUGGUACUGAGGUAACUCACUCAGCUCACAUUUUAGCUGCUAGCGCCAUGUUAGCCGCUAGCACAGCGUAAGCCGCUAGCGCUAGAUCUCCACAUGACGUUGAGUACAACUCCACAUGACGUUGAGUACAACUUACUCAUGAAUUUGGGUUAUGGCAAGUUCUAUCAAAGUCUAAAAUGUAUGUUGUUGCUGUCUUCUCGUAAGUGUUGCUUAUCUAGUCAGUCAGGCGCAUCCCAGCUACCGAAACGCAAGGAGUUUGCUUCUCAAACUGAUAUGCCACUGCAGGAUGUGGGCACAUGGCUACCUUGUACAGAGUUGUUGCUCACCUCAGGAAAGGUAUGCAAAGAUUAUGUGGAAAACCUGAUGGAGACCAUCUUCAAUAAAGUCGUUAUAUGGAGGACCUUGUAAAAAUCCCUGUCCCACCGGCCCAUUACAACUGAUCUAACUACCUCUACAUAUUGUUUACAUUUGUUAAGGUUGUGAGAUACAUAGGAAAUAGUGGACAUUUCAUUCUUCUACUAUUCUAUUCUCUAUACCUUUUGGAGUGGUGUCAAGGAAAACAGCUGCAUCCUCCAUCUGUACAGCAGCUGCACUGCUUCAGAUCAAAAUGUUUUCCAAAACGUGAUGAGCACAACAAAGAUCCUCACAUCUCCCCAACCAACUGCCCAUUACUGUACCUGUUCUACUCCAGACACUAUGCUUUCAACAUGAACCCUACCCAUUCAUUCCGUGGUCUGCACAUUGAACUGUGAAGGUAACUUAUCCAGCAUUAUAGUGCUGGAGCAUUGAUUGACAAUAAAGUUGGCUUUGACUAUUGCUGUUUCA